AGGGCCUUCAAAACAGAUGCCAUGCAUUCGACUUUGUCACAGUUAUUUUCAACAAAGAACAGAGUGAGUGAAGUAGAAAUUGCUUUUGAGAGGCCAGAGAGGAAUAGGAAAACCUUCCUUGGCAGUGCAAUGACUAAUUGUUUCCCCUUCACAGAAGAAAAGCCAAAAAAUCCUCAACUGUCAUAUGCACAAGGAAGAGGUUUGCUGAUAGA
rnacentral:lncRNA from 1 species